UUUCCGGUUGAUCCUGCCGGAGGCCACUGCUAUGGGGGUCCGACUAAGCCAUGCGAGUCAUGGGGCGCCUUGUGCGCACCGGCGGACGGCUCAGUAACACGUCGGUAACCUACCCUCGGGAGGGGGAUAACCCCGGGAAACUGGGGCUAAUCCCCCAUAGGCCUGAGGUACUGGAAGGUCCUCAGGCCGAAAGGGCGUAAGCCGCCCGAGGAUGGGCCGGCGGCCGAUUAGGUAGUUGGUGGGGUAACGGCCCACCAAGCCGAAGAUCGGUACGGGCCAUGAGAGUGGGAGCCCGGAGAUGGACACUGAGACACGGGUCCAGGCCCUACGGGGCGCAGCAGGCGCGAAAACUUCGCAAUGCGGGAAACCGCGACGAGGUCAGCCAGAGUGCCCGUGCAUUGCGCGGGCUGUCCGGGUGCCUAAACAGCACCCGACAGCAAGGGCCGGGCAAGGCCGGUGGCAGCCGCCGCGGUAAUACCGGCGGCCCGAGUGGCGGCCACUUUUAUUGGGCCUAAAGCGUCCGUAGCCGGCCCAGUAAGUCCCCAGGGAAAUCUGGUUGCUCAACAAUCAGACUUCCGGGGGAUACUGCUGGGCUAGGGACCGGGAGAGGCCGGGGGAAUUCCCGGGGUAGGGGUGAAAUCCUGUAAUCCCGGGAGGACCACCUGUGGCGAAGGCGCCCGGCUGGAACGGGUCCGACGGUGAGGGACGAAGGCCUGGGGAGCGAACCGGAUUAGAUACCCGGGUAGUCCAGGCUGUAAACGAUGCGGGCUAGGUGUCACCAGAGCCACGAGCUCCGGUGGUGCCGGAGGGAAGCCGUUAAGCCCGCCGCCUGGGAAGUACGGCCGCAAGGCUGAAACUUAAAGGAAUUGGCGGGGGAGCACUACAACGGGUGGAGCCUGCGGUUCAAUUGGAUUCAACGCCGGAA
rnacentral:rRNA from 1 species